rnacentral:lncRNA from 1 species
UUUAACAUCAACAUUUUCAUCAUUCACACAAUUCAAUCAAAUUUCAUAUGUUUAACAACAACAUUUUCAUUAUUCCAACAAUUCAAUCAAAUUUCAUGGGUUUAACAACAACAUUUUCAUUAUUCGCAAAAUUCAAUCAAAUUUCAUGGUUUUAACAAGAUUUUCAUCACUCACACAAUUCAAUUAAAUUUCAUGUGUUUAAGAACAACAACAUUUUCAUCAUUCAGACAACUCAAACAAAUUUCAUGGGUUUAACAACAACAACAUUUUCAUCAUUCACACAAUUCAAUUAAAUUUCAUGUGUUUAAGAACAACAACAUUUUCAUCAUUCAGACAACUCAAACAAAUUUCAUGGGUUCAACAACAACAACAUUUUCAAUAUUCACACAACUCUAUCAAAUUUCAUUGGUUUAACAUCAACAAUUUCAUCAUUCACAUAAUUCAAUCAAAGUUCAUGGGUUUAAGAACAACAUUUUUAUCGUUCACACAACUCAAUCAAAUUUCAUGGGUUUAACGACUAUAUUUUCAUCAUUCACAGAAUUCAAUCUAAUUCCAUGGAUUUAAAAGGAACAUUUUCAUCAUUCCCACAAUUCAAUCAAACUUCAUGGGUUUAACAUCAACAUUUUCAUCAUUCACACAAUUCAAUCAAAUUUCAUAUGUUUAACAACAACAUUUUCAUUAUUCCAACAAUUCAAUCAAAUUUCAUGGGUUUAACAACAUCAUUUUUAUCAUUCCCAUAAUUCAAUCAAAUCUUAUGGGUUUAACAAUAAUAUUUUCAUCAUUCACACAAUUCAAUCAAAUUUCAUGGGUUUAACAAUAACAUUUUCAUCAUUCACACAAUUCAAUCAAAUUUCAUGGGUUUAACAACAACAUUUUCAUCAUUCACACAAUUCAAUCAAAUUUCAUGGGUUUAACAACAACAUUUUCAUCAUUCACACAAUUCAAUCAAAUUUCAUGGGUUUAACAACAACAUUUUCAUCAUUCACACAAUUCAAUCAAAUUUCAUGGGUUUAACAACAACAUUUUCAUCAUUCACACAAUUCAAUCAAAUUUCAUGGGUUUAACAACAACAUUUUCAUCAUUCACACAAUUCAAUCAAAUUUCAUGGGUUUAACAACAACAUUUUCAUCAUUCACACAAUUCAAUCAAAUUUCAUGGGUUUAACAACAACAUUUUCAUCAUUCACACAAUUCAAUCAAAUUUCAUGGGUUUAACAACAACAUUUUCAUCAUUCACACAAUUCAAUCAAAUUUCAUGGGUUUAACAACAACAUUUUCAUCAUUCACACAAUUCAAUCAAAUUUCAUGGGUUUAACAACAACAUUUUCAUCAUUCACACAAUUCAAUCAAAUUUCAUGGGUUUAACAACAACAUUUUCAUCAUUCACACAAUUCAAUCAAAUUUCAUGGGUUUAACAACAACAUUUUCAUCAUUCACACAAUUCAAUCAAAUUUCAUGGGUUUAACAACAACAUUUUCAUCAUUCACACAAUUCAAUCAAAUUUCAUGGGUUUAACAACAACAUUUUCAUCAUUCACACAAUUCAAUCAAAUUUCAUGGGUUUAACAACAACAUUUUCAUCAUUCACACAAUUCAAUCAAAUUUCAUGGGUUUAACAACAACAUUUUCAUCAUUCACACAAUUCAAUCAAAUUUCAUGGGUUUAACAACAACAUUUUCAUCAUUCACACAAUUCAAUCAAAUUUCAUGGGUUUAACAACAACAUUUUCAUCAUUCACACAAUUCAAUCAAAUUUCAUGGGUUUAACAACAACAUUUUCAUCAUUCACACAAUUCAAUCAAAUUUCAUGGGUUUAACAACAACAUUUUCAUCAUUCACACAAUUCAAUCAAAUUUCAUGGGUUUAACAACAACAUUUUCAUCAUUCACACAAUUCAAUCAAAUUUCAUGGGUUUAACAACAACAUUUUCAUCAUUCACACAAUUCAAUCAAAUUUCAUGGGUUUAACAACAACAUUUUCAUCAUUCACACAAUUCAAUCAAAUUUCAUGGGUUUAACAACAACAUUUUCAUCAUUCACACAAUUCAAUCAAAUUUCAUGGGUUUAACAACAACAUUUUCAUCAUUCACACAAUUCAAUCAAAUUUCAUGGGUUUAACAUCAACAUUUUCAUCAUUCACACAAUUCAAUCAAAUUUCAUGGGUUUAACAACAACAUUUUCAUCAUUCACACAAUUCAAUCAAAUUUCAUGGGUUUAACAACAACAUUUUCAUCAUUCACACAAUUCAAUCAAAUUUCAUGGGUUUAACAACAACAUUUUCAUCAUUCACACAAUUCAAUCAAAUUUCAUGGGUUUAACAACAACAUUUUCAUCAUUCACACAAUUCAAUCAAAUUUCAUGGGUUUAACAACAACAUUUUCAUCAUUCACACAAUUCAAUCAAAUUUCAUGGGUUUAACAACAACAUUUUCAUCAUUCACACAAUUCAAUCAAAUUUCAUGGGUUUAACAACAACAUUUUCAUCAUUCACACAAUUCAAUCAAAUUUCAUGGGUUUAACAACAACAUUUUCAUCAUUCACACAAUUCAAUCAAAUUUCAUGGGUUUAACAACAACAUUUUCAUCAUUCACACAAUUCAAUCAAAUUUCAUGGGUUUAACAACAACAUUUUCAUCAUUCACACAAUUCAAUCAAAUUUCAUGGGUUUAACAACAACAUUUUCAUCAUUCACACAAUUCAAUCAAAUUUCAUGGGUUUAACAACAACAUUUUCAUCAUUCACACAAUUCAAUCAAAUUUCAUGGGUUUAACAACAACAUUUUCAUCAUUCACACAAUUCAAUCAAAUUUCAUGGGUUUAACAACAACAUUUUCAUCAUUCACACAAUUCAAUCAAAUUUCAUGGGUUUAACAACAACAUUUUCAUCAUUCACACAAUUCAAUCAAAUUUCAUGGGUUUAACAACAACAUUUUCAUCAUUCACACAAUUCAAUCAAAUUUCAUGGGUUUAACAACAACAUUUUCAUCAUUCACACAAUUCAAUCAAAUUUCAUGGGUUUAACAUCAACAUUUUCAUCAUUCACACAAUUCAAUCAAAUUUCAUGGGUUUAACAACAACAUUUUCAUCAUUCACACAAUUCAAUCAAAUUUCAUGGGUUUAACAUCAACAUUUUCAUCAUUCACACAAUUCAAUCAAAUUUCAUGGGUUUAACAACAACAUUUUCAUCAUUCACACAAUUCAAUCAAAUUUCAUGGGUUUAACAUCAACAUUUUCAUCAUUCACACAAUUCAAUCAAAUUUCAUGGGUUUAACAACAACAUUUUCAUCAUUCACACAAUUCAAUCAAAUUUCAUGGGUUUAACAUCAACAUUUUCAUCAUUCACACAAUUCAAUCAAAUUUCAUGGGUUUAACAACAACAUUUUCAUCAUUCACACAAUUCAAUCAAAUUUCAUGGGUUUAACAUCAACAUUUUCAUCAUUCACACAAUUCAAUCAAAUUUCAUGGGUUUAACAACAACAUUUUCAUCAUUCACACAAUUCAAUCAAAUUUCAUGGGUUUAACAACAACAUUUUCAUCAUUCACACAAUUCAAUCAAAUUUCAUGGGUUUAACAACAACAUUUUCAUCAUUCACACAAUUCAAUCAAAUUUCAUGGGUUUAACAACAACAUUUUCAUCAUUCACACAAUUCAAUCAAAUUUCAUGGGUUUAACAACAACAUUUUCAUCAUUCACACAAUUCAAUCAAAUUUCAUGGGUUUAACAACAACAUUUUCAUCAUUCACACAAUUCAAUCAAAUUUCAUGGGUUUAACAACAACAUUUUCAUCAUUCACACAAUUCAAUCAAAUUUCAUGGGUUUAACAACAACAUUUUCAUCAUUCACACAAUUCAAUCAAAUUUCAUGGGUUUAACAACAACAUUUUCAUCAUUCACACAAUUCAAUCAAAUUUCAUGGGUUUAACAACAACAUUUUCAUCAUUCACACAAUUCAAUCAAAUUUCAUGGGUUUAACAACAACAUUUUCAUCAUUCACACAAUUCAAUCAAAUUUCAUGGGUUUAACAACAACAUUUUCAUCAUUCACACAAUUCAAUCAAAUUUCAUGGGUUUAACAACAACAUUUUCAUCAUUCACACAAUUCAAUCAAAUUUCAUGGGUUUAACAACAACAUUUUCAUCAUUCACACAAUUCAAUCAAAUUUCAUGGGUUUAACAACAACAUUUUCAUCAUUCACACAAUUCAAUCAAAUUUCAUGGGUUUAACAACAACAUUUUCAUCAUUCACACAAUUCAAUCAAAUUUCAUGGGUUUAACAACAACAUUUUCAUCAUUCACACAAUUCAAUCAAAUUUCAUGGGUUUAACAACAACAUUUUCAUCAUUCACACAACUCAAUCAAAUUUCAUGGGUUUAACAACAACAACAUUUUCAUCAUUCACACAAUUCAAUCAAAUUUCCUGGGUUCAACAACAACAACAUUUUCAAUAUUCACACAAUUCUAUCAAAUUUCAUUGUUUUAACAUCAACAUUUUCAUCAUUCACACAAUUCAAUCAAAUUUCAUGGAUUUAACAACAAAUACAUUUUCAUCAUUCACACAAUUCAAUCAAAUUUCAUGGGUUUAAGAACAAUAUUUUUAUCGUUCACCCAACUCAAUCAAAUUUCAUGGGUUUAACGACUAUAUUUUCAUCAUUCACAGAAUUCAAACAAAUUCCAUGGAUUUAAAAAGAACAUUUUCAUCAUUCCCACAUAUCAAUCAAAUUUCAUGCGUUUAACAUCAACAUUUUCAUCAUUCAUACAAUUCAAUCAAAUUUCAUAUGUUUAACAACAACAUUUUCAUUAUUCCAACAAUUCAAUCAAAUUUCAUGGGUUUAACAACAACAUUUUCAUUAUUCACACAACUCAAUCAAAUUUCAUGGGUUUAAUAACAAUAUUUUCAUCAUUCACAGAAUUCAAUCAAAUUCCAUGGAUUUAAAAGGAACAUUUUCAUCAUUCCCACAAUUCAAUCAAAUUUCAUGGGUUUAACAUCAACAUUUUCAUCAUUCACACAAUUCAAUCAAAUUUCAUAUGUUUAACAACAACAUUUUCAUUAUUCCAACAAUUCAAUCAAAUUUCAUGGGUUUAACAACAACAUUUUCAUUAUUCACACAACUCAAUCAAAUUUCAUGGGUUUAAUAGAAUAUUUUCAUCAUUCCCAUAAUUCAAUCAAAUUUCAUGGGUUUAACAACUACAUUUUCAUUAUUCAGUCUAUUCAAUCAAAUUUCUUGGGUUUAAUAAUAACAACAUUUUCAUUAUUCACACAAUUCAAUCAAAUUUCUUGGGUUUAACAGCAACAUUUUCAUCAUUCACUUAAUUCAAGCAAAUUUCAUGGGAUUAACAACAACAUUUUAAUUAUUCCCACAAUUCAAUCAAAUUUCAUGGGUUGAACAACAACAUUUUCAUCAUUCACACAAUUUAAAUAAAUUUCAUGGGUUUAACAACAACAUUUUCAUCAUUCGCAAAAUUCAAUCAAAUUUCAUGGUUUUAACAAGAUUUUCAUCACUCACACAAUUCAAUUAAAUUUCAUGUGUUUAAGAACAACAAGAUUUUCAUCAUUCAGACAACUCAAACAAAUUUCAUGGGUUUAACAACAACAACAUUUUCAUCAUUCACACAAUUCAAUCAAAUUUCCUGGGUUUUAGAACAACAUUUUUAUCGUUCACACAACUCAAUCAAAUUUCAUGGGUUUAACGACUAUAUUUUCAUCAUUCACAGAAUUCAAUCAAAUUCCAUGGAUUUAAAAGGAACAUUUUCAUCAUUCCCACAAUUCAAUNNNNNNACAAUUCAAUCAAAUUUCUUGGGUUUAAUAAUAACAACAUUUUCAUUAUUCACACAAUUCAAUCAAAUUUCUUGGGUUUAACAGCAACAUUUUCAUCAUUCACUUAAUUCAAUCAAAUUUCAUGGGAUUAACAACAACAUAUUCAUUAUUCCCACAAUUCAAUCAAAUUUCAUGUGUUUAACAACAACAUUUUCAUCAUUCACACAAUUCAAUCAAAUUUCAUGGGUUUAAACAACAACAUUUUCAUCAAUUACACAAUUUAAUCAAAUUUCAUGGGUUUAACAACAACAUUUUCAUCAUUUGCAAAAUUCAAUUAAAUUUUAUUGUUUUAACAACAUUUUCAUCACUUACACAAUUCAAUUAAAUUUCAUGUGUUUAACAACAACAACAUUUUCAUCAUUCAGACAAUUCAAUCAAAUUUCAUAGGUUUAACAACAACAUUUUUAUCAUUCACAUAAUUCAAUCAAAUUCUGUCGGUUUAAAAAUAACAUUUUCUUCAUUUACAGAAUUCAAUUAAAUUUCACGGCUUUAACGACAACAUUUUUAUCAUUCAUACAAUUCAAUCAAAUUUUAUGAGUUUAACAACAACAUUUUCAUCAUUCACACAAUUCAAUCAAAUUUCAUGGGUUUAACAACAACAACANNNNNNNNNNNNNNNNNNNNNNNNAAUUAUUCCACAUUCAAUCAAAUUAUCAUGGCGGUUGAACAACAACAAUUUUCAUCAUUCACACAAUUUAAUCAAAUUUCAUGGGUUUAACAACAACAAUUUUCAUUCUAUUCAAAUUCAAAUUCAAAUUUCAUGGGUUCAACAAAAUUUCAUCAUCACACAAUCAUAAAUUCAUGUUUAACACAAAUUUUCAUUUCAUUCAGACAAUCAAACAUUUUAUGUUAACAAACAACAACAUUUUCAUCAUUCCACUAAUUCAAUCAAAUUUCGGGUUUUAGAAACAACAUUUUUAUCGUUCACACAACUCAAUCAAAUUCAUGGGUUAACGACUAUAUUUUCAUCAUCACAGAAUUCAUCAAAUUCCAUGGAUUUAAAAAGAACAUUUCAUCAUCCACAAUUCAAUCAAAUUUAUGGGUUUAACAUCAACAUUUCAUCAUUCACAAAUCUCAACUCAAUUCUAAGAUGUUUAACAAACAACAUUUUCAUUUAUUCCAACAAUUCAAUCAAUUUCAUGGUUUAACAACAACAUUUUCAUUAUUCCACAACAAAUCAAUGUUUAGGUUUAAUAGAAAUUUUCUCAUUCCAUAAUUCAAAUCAAAUUUCAUGGGUUAAACAAUACAUUUUCAUCAUUCGACCAUUCAAUCAAAUUUCAUGUUUUAAUAAUCAACAACAAAACAUUUUCUCAUUCACACAAUUCAAUCAAUUUCUUGGGUUUAUUUAACACCAACAUUUCAUCAUACUCUAAUUCAAAUCAAAUUUCAUUGGGUUUAACAAACGAUUUUCUAUCCACUCACACAAUUCAAUUAAUUUCAUGUGUUAAGACAACAACAUGUUCAUCUUGACAUACAAAUUCAGUUCACACACAUUCAAUUCAGCACAUUCAAUCAUCUGGGUUUCAACAACAACAUCAAUUAUUCAUCAAUCAUGUUACACAACAUCAUCUUCACAAAUUAAUGAAUUUUGGGUUAACAACAACAUUUUUCAUCAUCGCAAAAUCAAUUUAAAUUUUUAUAUGUUUUAACAACAUUUCAUCCAACUGACACAUUCAAUUAAAUUUCAUGGUUUCACAAAAAACAACAUUAUCAUCAAUUCAACAAUUCCAUCCAAAUUUUCAUGGGGUUUAAACAAUAAUUUCAUCAUUCAAACAAUAAAUCAUCAAAUUCUUUGGUUUAUAAAACAACCAUUUUCACUUAUUUAACUAUCAAUCAAUAUUCUUAGGUUUAAGCAGACAUUUAUCAUCUAAUUCAUAAAAUUCAUGAUAAGCAUUUCAUAUUCACAAUUCAAUCAAAUGUUUAUGAGUUAACAACAACAUUUCCAUCACUCAACAAUUCAAUCAAAUGUUCAUGGUUUUAACAAACAACAUUUUCAAUAUUCACACAAUUUAUCAAAAUUUCAUGGCUUUAAAACAACAUUUUCAUCCAUUCGCAAAUUCAAUAAAUUGUAUGUUUAACACAUUUUUCAAUCACUAACAAUAUCAUUAAUUUUGUGUUAACUAAACAACAUUAUCAUCAUCAGACAAUUCAUCAAAUUUCAUGGUGAGCUUAACAACAACCAGUUUAUCAUAUCACAUAAUUCAAUCAAAUUUUAUGUUUAAAAUAGCAUUUUCUUUCAUUUCGACAAACAAUUGUUUUUCAUUCCAUUCAAUUCAUCAAAUUUUAUGGCUUUAACAAUCAACAUUUUCAUAUUCACACAAUUCAUACCAAUUUCCCGGGGUUAACAACAACAACAUUUUCAUCAUUCACCAAUUCUAAUCAAUAGAUUUCUUGGCGUUCAACAACAAUAACAUUUUUCAAUUCACAUCAAUUCUAUCAAAUUUCUUGGUUUAACAGGCAACAUUUUCAUCAUUCACACAAUUUUCAAUCAAAAUUUCAUGACUUUGAACAACAUAAUCAUUUUCAUCAUUCACAUCAAUUCAAUCAAUAUCAAGUUUAUAAACAACUUUUUUAUCUGUUCACCAACUCAAUCAAAUUAGGUUAACACAAUAUUUUCAUCAUUCACCGAUUCAAUCCAAAAUUCCAGGAUUUUAAAGAAACAUUUUCAUCAUUCCCACACUCAAUUCAAAUUUCUGGUUUUAACAUCAUCGUUUUCAUCCUUCAUCACAAUUCAAUCAAAUUUCAUUGGUUUAACAAACAACAUUUUAUUAUUCCAACAUCAAGCAAUGUCAUUGGUUUAACAACAACGAUUUUCAUAUUCACACAACUCAAUCAAAUUUCGAUGGGUUUUAAUAGAACAUGUUCAUAAUUCCCAUAAUUCAUAAUUUCAUGGUUUAACAACUACAUUCAUCAUUCAGAGCAAUCAAUCAAAUUUCAUGGGUUUAAAGACAAAACCAAUUUCGAUUUUCCCAUUACAAUUCAAUCAAAUUCUGGUUUAAAAUACAACUUUUCAUCAUUCAAAUUCAUCAAAUUUCAUGGUUUUUAACAUAAUAUUUUCAUUAUCCCGCAAUUCAACUCAAAUUCAUGGGUUAGAACAACACAUUUUCAUCAUUCACACACUUCAAAUCAAAUAUUCAUGGUUUGAACAAAAAACCAUUUCAUCCAUUCAAACUGUCAAUCAAAUUUAUGGGUUACAAAUUUCACACUAAUUUCAAUUUAAGUUUCUGUUACAAACAACAUUCUCAUCAAAAUUUACAUUUAGGGUUUAACGAACACAUUUAUCCUCGACCAUUACAAUCAAUUCAAUGUGUUUUAAGACAAUUUAUUAUCUUCCACGAACUCAAUCAAAUUCCAUGGCGGAUACAGAUAUAUUUUCACUCAUUCACAGAAUUCAAUUCAAUUCCAUGGAUUAAAAGGAACAUUUUUCAUCAUAUUCCCAUCAAUUCCAAUCAAACUAGGGUUUAACUAUCAAUCAUUUUCAUCAUUAAACAAAUUUCAAUCAAAAUUUCAUAUUGUUAACAACCAAACAUUUUCUUAUUUCAAACAAUUCAAUCAAUUUCAUGGGUUUAACAAUAACAUUUUCAUUGUCACACAACUCAGAUCAAAUCAUGGGUUUAUAGAAGAUGUCAUUCAUUCAACAAAUUCAAUCAAAUUCUGGUUCACACAACAACAUUUUCAUAAGUCAGCACAAUUCUAGUCAAUUUCAUUCGGCUUAACAUCACCAUUUUCAUCAGUUCACACAAUUCAAUCAAAUUUCAUGGAAUUUAACAACAACAACAUUUCAAUCAUUCACAUAUUCAACAAAGUUCAUGUUUAAGAACAACAUUUUCUAUCGUUUCACACCAACUCAAUCAAUUUCAUGGGGUUACACGACAAUUUUUCAUCAUUCACAGAUUCACAUCAAUUCCAUGGAUUAAAUAGGAACAGUUUUUCAUCAUUCCCCACCAAUUCAAAUUCAAAUUCAUGGAUUUAACAUCACAGUAUUCGAUCAUUCACUCGAAUUAAUCAAUCUAUGUCACAUUUAUGAUUCAUCACAAUCAAUCAGAAAUGUUCAAACAACUUCGAUGUCACAACAACUCAUAUCAAUUCAGGGUUUUUUAAUAUGAGAUUUUCUCCAGAGAUUCAAUCAGAAUUUCAUUUAUGUAACAACUACAUUUUCUUAUUCCAAGGCAAAUUAAUCAAAUUUAUGAGUUUAUAAGACCAACAUUAGUCUUAUUCACACAAUCAAUCAAAUUCAUCGGGUUAAAGCACAUUUCUGUCAUUACUUUGAUAUUCAAUCAAAUUUUCAGAGGGAUUUAACAACUACAUUUCAUUCAUCCGACAAUUCAAUCAAAUUUCAGCGUUAACAACAACAGUUCAUCAUUCACACUAAUUUAACAAAUUGCAGAGGAUUAAGAACAACAACUUUCAUAUUCGCAAAAUUCAAAUCAAAUUCAUGGUUUAACAAGAUUUUCAUCACUCACACAAUUCAAUUAAAUUCUCAUGGUUUAGAACAACAACAAUUUAUCAAUUCAGGACAAACGCAAAAAAUUUCAUGGGUUUAAAACAACAACAUUUUCAUCAUUCACACCAAUCAUCAAAUUCCUCGGUUCAACACCAACAACAUUUUCGAAUAUUCACACAACUCUAUCAAAUUUCAUGGUUUAAAUCACACAUUUCAUCACUACACAAUUCAAUCAAAUUUCAUGGGUUUAAGAACAACUUUUUAUCUUUCACAGCAACUCAAUCAAAUUUCAUGGGUUUAACGACUAUUUUAUCAUUCUCACAGAAUUCAAUCAAUUCCAUUGGAUUUAAAGGAACUUUCAUCAUUCCCAAUUCAAUCAAAUUCAUGGGUUUACAUCAACAUUUUCAUCAUUCACACAAUUCAAUCAAAAUUUCAUAUGUUUAACAACACAUUUUCAUUAUUCCAACAAUUCAAUCAAAUUUCAUGUUAACAUAACUUUCAUUAUCACACAACUCAUCAAUUUCAUGUUUAAUAGAAGUUUCAUCUUCCCAAUUCAAAAAUUCAUGGGUUUAACAAAACAACAUUUUCAUAUUCACACACAAUCAAAUUUCAUGGGUUACCAUAACAUUUUCAUCAUUCACACAAUUCAAUCAAAUUCUAUGGUUUAACAACAACAUUUUCAUCAUUCACUAAUUCAAUCAAAUUUCAUGGUUUUACAUCAACAUUUUUAUUCACACAUUCAAUCAAAUUUCAUGGGUUUAACAACUUAUUUUCAUCAUUCACAAUUCAAUCAAAUCAUGUUUACAACAACAUUUUCAUCAUUCACACAAUCAAUCAAAUUUCAUGGAUUUCAACCAACAUUUUCAUCAUUUCACGAAUUCAAUCAAAUUCAUAGAUUAAAGAAAGGAACAUUUUCUCAUUCCAAAAUCAAUCAAAUUCAUGGGUUAACAUCAACAUUUUCAUCAUUCACACAAUUCAAUCAAUAUUUCAUAUGUUAACAACUAACUUCAUUAUUCCAACAAUUCAAAUCAAAUUUUCAUGAGGUUUAACAACACAUUUUCAUUUAUUCACACUCAAUCAAUUUCAUGGGUUUAAUCGAACAUUUUCAUCAUUCCCAUAAUUCAAUCAAAUUUCAUGGGUUUAUUAAUACAAUUUUCAUCAUUCGACAUUCAAUUCAAAUUUUCAUGGGGUUUAAGACAACAACUUAUCAUAUUCACCAUAUUCAAUCAAAUUUCAUGGGUUUAACAAACACAUUUUAUCAUUAACAAUCAAUUCAUUUAACAAGAACAUUGAUCAUUCAGAAUCAAAUUUCAUGUUUUAACCAGAUUUUAAUCAUCACACAAUUCAAUUAAAUUUCAUGUUUUAAGAACAAACAUUUUUCAUAUUCAGGAAACUCAAACAAUUUCAUGGGUAACAACAACAACAUUUUCAUCAUUCACACAAUUCAAUCAAAUUUCCUUGGUUCAACAACAACAACUUUUCAAUUUCACCACAAUCAACAAAUUUCAUGGUUUAACAUCAACAUUUUCAUCAUUCACACAAUUUCAAUCAAUUUCAGAUGAAUGUAACCAAACAAGCAAUUUCAGUCAUCACAUAUUCAUCAGAAAGUUCUGGGUUGAUAGAGAAACCAUUUUAUCGUUUCACCACACUCAUAAUUUCAUGGUGUUAACGACUAUAUUUCUCAUUCACGGGAAUUCAUCAAAUUCCAUGAUUUAAAGAAACAUUUCCUUUCAUUCCCACAUUCAUGCAAUUUCAUGGAUAUUACAUGAACGUUUCAUCAUUCACAGAAUUCAGUCAAUUCCAUGGAUUUUAAAAAAGACAUUUUUCGUUUACAACAUAUCAACAAUAUAUCAGGGUAACAUCAACAUUUUCAUCAUUCACACAAUUCGAAUCAAAUUUCAAUAUGUUAACAACAACAUUUUCAUUAUAUCCAACAAUUCAAUCAAAUUCAUGAGUUUAAAACAACAUUUUCAUUAUCCCAACAACUCUCAACAAUCAAAUUUCAUGGGUUUAAUAGAACAUUUUCAUCAUUCCCAUAAUUCAAUCAAAUUUCAUGGGUUUAACAACUACAUUUUCAUCAUUCAGACAAUUCAAUCAAAUUUCAUGGGUUUAAAGACAAUUCCAAUUUCAUUAUUCCCAUAAUUCAAUCAAAUUUCAUGGGUUUAACAACAACAUUUUUAUCAUUCACAUAAUUCAAUGAAAUUCUAUCGGUUUAAAAAUAACAUUUUCAUCAUUCACACAAUUCAAUCAAAUUUUAUGAGUUUAACAACAACAUUUUCAUCAUUCACACAAUUCAAUAAAAUUUCAUGGGUUUAAGAAAAACAUUUUUAUCAUUCACACAACUCAAUCAAAUUUCAUGGGUUUAACGACAAUAUUUUCAUCAUUCAAAGAAUUCAAUCAAAUUCCAUGGAUUUAACAGGAACAUUUUCAUCAUUCCCACAAUUCAAUCAAAUUUAAUGGGUUUAACAUCUACAUUUUCAUCAUUUACACAAUUCAAUCAAAUUUCAUAUGAUUAACAACAACAUUUUCAUUAUUCCAACAUUUCAAUCAAAUUUCAUGGGUUUAACAACAAUAUUUUCAUUAUUCACACAACUCAAUCAAACUUCAAGGGUUUAAUAGAACAUUUUCAUCAUUCCCAUAAUUCAAUCAAAUUUCAUGGGUUUAACAACAACAUUUUUAUCAUUCACAUAAUUCAAUCAAAUUCUAUCGGUUUAAAAAUACCAUUUUCAUGAUUUACAGAAUUCAAUCAAAUUUCACUGCUUUAACGACAACAUUUUUAUCAUUCAUACAAUUCAAUCAAAUUUUAUGAGUUUAACAACAUUUUCAUCAUUCACACAAUUCAAUCAAAUUUCAUGGGUUUAACAACAACAACAUUUUCAUCAUUCACACAAUUCAAUCAAAUUUCCUGGGUUUAAUAAUAACAACAUUUUCAUCAUCAUUCACACAAUUCAAUCAAAUUUCAUGGGUUUAACAACAACAACAUUUUCAUCAUUCACACAAUUCAAUCAAAUUUCCUGGGUUUAAUAAUAACAACAUUUUCAUCAUUCACACAACUCAAUCAAAUUUCCUGGGUUUAAUAAUAACAACAUUUUCAAUAUUCACACAAUUCUAUCAAAUUUCAUUGGUUUAGCAUCAACAUUUUCAUCAUUCACACAAUUCAAUCAAAUUUCAUGAAUUUAACAACAACAACAUUUUCAUCAUUCACAUGAUUGAAUCAAAUUUCAUGGGUUUAAGAACAACAUGUUUAUCGUUCACACAACUCAAUCAAAUUUCAUGGGUUUAACGACAAUAUUUUCAUCAUUCACAGAAUUCAAUCAAAUUCCAUGGAUUUAAAAGGAACAUUUUUAUCAUUCCCACAAUUCAAUCAAAUUUCAUGGGUUUAACAUCAACAUUUUCAUCAUUCACACAAUUCAAUCAAAUUUCAUUCGUUUAACAACAACAUUUUCAUUAUUCCAACAAUUCAAUCAAAUUUCAUGGGUUUAACAACAUCAUUUUCAUUAUUCACACAACUCAAUCAAAUUUCAUGGGUUUAAUGGAACAUUUUCAUCAUUCCCAUAAUUCAAUCAAAUUUCAUGGGUUUAAACAACUACAUUUUCAACAUUCAGACAAUUCAAUCAAAUUUCUUGGGUUUAAUAAUAACAACAUUUUCAUUAUUCACACAAACAAUUUCAAGUCAAAUUUCUUGGUUUAACAGCAACAUUUUCAAUUCAUAUCACUUAAUUCAUCAAAUUUCAUGGGAUUAACAACAACAUUUUCAUAUCCCUAGACAAUUCAAAUCAAAUUCAUGUGUUUAAAGCACAACAAUUAUUCAUCAUUCACAAACAAAUUCAAUCAAAAUUCUCAUGGGUUUAAGACAACAACAUUUUCAUCAUUCACAAUUAUAAUCAAAAUUUCAGGUUUAACAACAACAUUUUCAUCAUUCCAAAAUCAUUAAAUUUUAUGGUUUUUAACAACAUUUUCAUCACUUUGCACAUUUCAAUUAAAUUCAUUGUUUAACAAAAAAAACAUUUUCAAUCAUUCAGACAAUUCAACUCAAUUUCAUGGUUUAACAACAACAAUUUUAUCAUUCCAUAAUUUCAAUCAAAUUCUGUCCGGUUUAAAAUACAUUUUUUCAUUUACAAAUUCAAUCAAACUUUUCCACCUUUAACGACAACGAUUUUAUCAUCUUCAUGACAAUUAAUCAAUUUUAUGGUAUUAACCACAACAUUUUCAUCAUUCACACAAUUCAAAAUAAUAUUCAUGGGUUUACAACAACAACAUUUCUUAUCAUUCAACAAUUCAAUCAACUUCAUGGGUUUAAAGAUUCAUCAUACAAUUAUUAUUCAUGUGUUCCACAAUUAUUCACAUAUAGCAUAAUUCAUUUAGUUUAACACGAACAUUUUCAUUAUUCCAACAAUUCAAUCAAAUUUCAUGGGUUAACAACAACAAUUUUCAAUUAUUCACACAACUAAUCAAAUUUCAUGGGUUUAAUAGAACAUUUUCAUCCAUUCCCAUAAUUCAAUCAAAUUUCAUGGGUUUAAACAACUACAUUUUCAACAUUCAGACAUUCAAUCAAAUUUCUUGGUUUAAUAAUAACAACAUUUUCAUUAUUCACACAUUCAAUCACAUUUCCUUGGGUUUAACAAACAUUUUCAAUCCAUUCACUUAAAUUCAAUCAAAUUUCAUGGUUAACAACAACAUUUUCAUUAUUCCCAACAAUUCAAUAAAUUUCUGUUUUAACAACUUUUCAUCAUUCACAAUUCAAUCAAAUUUUGUGUUUAACAAACAACAUUUUCAUUUCAGCAAAUUCCAAUCAAAUUUCAUGGGUUAACAAAACAAAUUUUAAUCAUUCACAACAAUCAAUCAAAUUCUUCGGGUUAACAAUAACAUUUUCAUCAUUUAAAAUUCAAUCAAUUUCAUCAGGCUUUAAAACGACAACAUUUUUAUCAUUCAUACAUUCAAUCAAAUUUAUGAGUUUAACAACAACAUUUUCAUCAUUCACACACAUUCAAUCAAAAUUUCAUGGGUUUAACAACAACAACAUUUUCAUCAUUCACACACAUUAUCAAUUUAAUUGGGUUCACAACAAAACAUUUUCAUUCACACAAUUCUAUCAAAUUUCAUUGGUUUAACAUCAACAUUUUCAUCAUUCACACAAUUCAAUCAAAUUUAUGGAUUUAACAACAAUAACAUAUUCAUCCAUUACAACAAUUCAAUCAAAUUUCAUGGGUUUACAAGAACAAUAUUUAAUUACGUUCACCCAACCAAUCAAUUUCAACGGGUUUAACGACAAUAUUUUCAUCAUUCACAGAAUUCAAUCAAAUUUCCUGGUUUUAAACGACAUUUUCAUCAUUCAACAAUUCAAUCAAAUUUCAUGGGUUUAACAAACAACAUUUUCUCAUUAACAUAGAUUCAAUCAAAUCUGCAUGGUUACUACAACAUCUUUUCAUUAUUUCCACAAUUCUAAUGCAAAUUUCUUGGGUUAACACCAACAUUUCUCAUUCAUACCACAAUCAUCAAAUAUCAUGGGUUUAAAUAAACAAAUUUUCAUCAUUACCCAUCUAAUUCAUAAUUUCAUGGGUUUCAAACACAUUUUUCAUCAUUCACACAACUCAAUCAAUUCAUGGGUUUAUAAUAAAACUUAUUUCAUAUUCACGACAAUUCAUCAAAUUCAUUGGUUUAAAAAACAUUUUAUCAUUCACUUAAUUCAAUCAAAUUUCAUGCGGUUAAGCACUCACAAUCACUUCAUCAUUCAUUGUUCCCACAUAUUCAAAAUCAUCAAUUUCAUGGGUUUUAACAACGAAUUUUUGGGCAUUAUUCACACAAUAUAUAAUAUUUCAAUGGUUUAAAAGCAUUUUCAACAUGCAAAUUCAAUCCAAUUUUAUGGUUUUACGGAACACUUUUAUGCACUUACAGAAUUCAAUUAAAUUUCAUAUUUAACAACAACAACAUUUUCAUACAUUCACACAAUUCACAUCAAUUCAUGGUUUAAGAACAAUAUUCUAUCAUUCACGUGGGUGGGGCAUCUGGAAACCAAUCAAAUUUCAUGUGUUUUCUAACGACAAUUUUUUUCAUCAUUCAAGAAUUCAUCAAAUUCCAACUGGAUUUAAAAGAACAUUUUCAAUCAUUCCCCACCAAUUCAUCACCAUUUCAUGGGUUUACAUCAACCGUUUUCAUCAUUCACACAAUUCAAUAAAUUUCAAUUUGUUUACUAACAACAAAUUUUAUUAUUCCAACAAUUCAAAUCCAAUUUCAUGGUUUAACGAACAUUUUCUUAUUCAGCAUAAUCAAUCAAUUAUCAUGGGUUGGAAAUAGAAAUUUUCAUCAUUACCCGAUAAUUCAAUCCAUUUCAAAUGGGUUUAAACACUACAUUUUCAACAUUCAGACAAUAUCAAUCAAAUUUCUUAGGUUUAAAUACCAACAUUUUAUCAUUCACUUAAUUCAGUCAAAUUCAUGGUUAAUAACAACAUUUUCAUUAUUCCCGACAAUUCAAGUCAAAUUUCAUCCAUGGGGUUUAAUCACACACAACAUUUUUAUCAUCUCACACAAUUUAAUCAAAUUUUCAUGGUUAACAACACCGAUUUCAUCAUUCCGAAAAUUCCAAUAGCAAGAUUUUAAUGGUUUGUACACAUUGUUCAUCACUUACAACAAUUCAAUUAAAUUUCAUGGGUGUUAACAACAACAAUUUUCAUCAUUCAAACACUAAUAUCAACUAAAUUUCAUGGGUUUAACCAACACAUUUUUAUCAUGUCACUAACAAUUUAAUCAAAAUUCAUGGGUACAAAAUAUACAUUUUUUCAUUUACCAAAGAAUUUCAAUCAAAUUUAGGCUUAACGAACAUUUUCUCUACUCAUCAGACAAUCUCAAUUAAAUUUAAUGUAUUUACACAAACAACAUUUUCAUCAUUCACACAAUUCAAUCAAAUUUCAUGGGUUUAACAACAAACACAUUUUAUUCAUUCACACAAUUCAAUCAAAUUUCCUGGGUUCAAACAACAACAACAUUUUCAAUAUUCCACACAAUUCUAUCAAAUUUCAUUGGUUUAACAUCAACAUUUUCAUCAUUCACCACAAUUCAAUCAAAUUUCAUGAAUUUAACAACAACAACAAUUUCAUCAUUCACAAAUUCAAUCAAAUUCAUGGGUUUAAGAAAACAUUUUAUCGUUCACACAACUAAUCAAAUUCAUGUGUUUAACGACAAUAUUUUUCAUCAUUCACAGAAUUCAAUCAAAUUCAUGGAUUUAAAAGGAAUUUUUUCAUCAUUCCCAUUCAUCAAAUUUCAUGGGUAAAUCAACUUUUCAUCAUUCACACAAUUCAAUCAAAUUUCAUUUGUUUAAAACACAUUUUUUUUUCAUUAUCCAACAAUUCAAUCAAAUUCAUGGUUAACAACAACAUUUUCAUUAUUCCACAACUCAAUCAAAUUUCAUGGGUUUAAAUAGAAAUUUCAUCAUUCCAUAAUUCAAUCAAUUUCAUGGGUUUAAACAAACUACAUUUUCAUUUCAGACAAUUAAUCAAAUUUCUGGGUUUAUAAUAACAAUUUUCAUAUUCACACAAUUCAAUCAAUUUCUUGGGUUUAACAGCAACAUUUUCAUACAUUCACUUAAUUCAAUCAAAUUCAUGGAUUAAAACAACAUUUCAUUAUUCCACAAUUCAAAUCAAAUUUCAUGGUGUUUAACAACAACAUUUUCAUCAUUCACAAUCAUCACACAUUCAAUCAAAUUUCAUGGUAAACAACAACAUUUUCAUCAUUCACACAAUUUAUAAUCAAAUUUCAUGGGUUUAACAACAACAUUUCUCAUUGCAAAUUCAAUAAAUUUAUGUUUUAACAAAUUUUCAUCACUUCACACAAUUAAUUAAAUUUCAAGUGUUUAACAACAACAAUUUUCCAUCAUUCACACAAUUCAAUCAAAUUUCAUGGUUUAACAACAACAUUUUAUCAUUCACAAUUCAAUCAAUUCUAUGGUUUAAAAUAACAUUUUCUUCAUUUAAUCAGAAUUCAAUAAUUUCACGGCUUUAACGAAAAACAUUUUUAUUCAUUCAUGACAAUUCAAUCAAAUUUUAUGAGUUUAACAACAACAUUUUCAUCAUUCACACAAUUCAAUCAAAUUUCAUGGGUUUAACAACAACAACAUUUUUUAUUCACACAAUUCAAUCAAAUUCUGGGUUAACAACACAAACAUUUUCAUUAUUCACACAAUUCUAUCAAUUUCAUUGGUUUAACAUCAACAUUUUCAUCAUUCACACAAUUCAAUCAAAUUUCAUGAUUAACAACAAAACAUUUUCAUAUUCACACAAUUCAAUCAAAUUUCAUGGGUUUAAGAACAAUAUUUUUAUCGUUCACACCAACUCAAUCAAAUUUCAUGGGUUUAACGACAAUUUUUCAUCAUUCACAGAAUUCAAUCAAAUUCCAUGGAUUUAAAGGAACAUUUUCAUCAUUCCCACAAUUCAAUCAAAUUUCAUGGGUUUAACAUCAACAUUUUCAUCAUUCACACAAUUACUCAAAUUCUAUGUUUACAACAACAUUUCAUUAUUCCAACAAUUCAAUCAAAUUUAUGGUUUAAACACAACAUUUUCAUUAUUCACACACUCAAUCAAAUUUCAUGGGUUUAAAUAGAACUUUUUCAUCAUUCCAUAAUUAUCAAAUUUCAUGGGUUUAACAACUACAUUUUCAUCAUUCAGACAAUUCAAUCAAAUUUCAUGGUUUAAUAAUAACAACAUUUUCAUAUUCACACAAUUCAAUCAAAUUUCUUGGUUUAAACGCAACAUUUUCAUCAUUCACUUAAUUCAAUCAAAUUUCAUGGAUUAAACACAACAUUUUCAUAUUCCCACAUUCAAUCAAAUUUCAUGGUUUAACAACAACAUUUUCAUCAUUCACACAAUUUAAUCAAAUUCAUGGGUUUAACAACACAUUUUCAUCAUUCGAAAAUUCAAUCAAAUUUCAUGGUUUUUAACAACAAUUUUCAUCACUUACACAAUUCAAUUAAAUUUCAUGGUUUUAACACAACAACAUUUUCACAUUCACACAAUUCAAUAAAUUUCAUGGGUUAACAACACAUUUUUAUCAUUCACAUAAUCUCUCAAAUCUGUGGUUUAAAUCAACAUUUUCAUUCAUUACAUGAAUCAAUCAAAUUCAGCUUUAACAGACAACAUUUUAUCAUUCAUACANNNNNNNNNNNNNNNNNNNNNNNNNGGUUUAAUAAUAACAACAUUUUCAAUUCACACAAUUCAAUCAAAUUUCAUGGUUUAACAACAACAUUUUUAUCAUUCACAUAUUCAAUCAAAUUCUAACGGUUUAAAUAACCUUUUCAUCAUUUACAGAAUUCAAUAAAAUUUCAUGCUUUUAACAAAACAUUUUCAUCAUUCACUUAAUUCAAUCAAAUUUCAUGGGAUUAACAACAACAUUUUCAUUAUUCCCACAAUUCAAUCAAAUUUCAUGGGUUUAACAACAACAUUUUUAUCAUUCACACAAUUUAAUCCAAUUUCAUGGGUUUAACAACAACAUUUUCAUCAUUCGCAAAAUUCAAUCAAAUUUUAUGGUUUUAACAACAUUUUCAUCACUUACAGAAUUCAAUUAAAUUUCAUGAAUUUAACAACAACAACAUUUUCAUCAUUCACACAAUUCAAUCAAAUUUCAUGGGUUUAAGAACAAUAUGUUUAUCAUUCACACAACUCAAUCAAAUUUCAUGUGUUUAACGACAAUUUUUUCAUCAUUCACAGAAUUCAAUCAAAUUCCAUGGAUUUAAAAGAAACAUUUUCAUCAUUCCCCCAAUUCAAUCAAAUUUCAUGGGUUUAACAUCAACGUUUUCAUCAUUCACACAAUUCAAUAAAAUUUCAUUUGUUUAACAACAACAUUUUCAUUAUUCCAACAAUUCAAUCAAAUUUCAUGGGUUUAACAACAACAUUUUCAUUAUUCACAUAACUCAAUCAAAUUUCAUGGGUUUAAUAGAACAUUUUCAUCAUUCCCAUAAUUCAAUCAAAUUUCAUGGGUUUAAACAACUACAUUUUCAACAUUCAGACAAUUCAAUCAAAUUUCUUAGGUUUAAUACCAACAUUUUCAUCAUUCACUUAAUUCAAUCAAAUUUCAUGGGAUUAAUAACAACAUUUUCAUUAUUCCCACAAUUCAAUCAAAUUUCAUGGGUUUAACAACAACAUUUUUAUCAUUCACACAAUUUAAUCAAAUUUCAUGGGUUUAAUGAAGAUUUCUCAUCAGUUCCCAUAAUUCAUCAAAUUUCAUGGGUUUUAUCAACUACAUUUUCAUAUUCAGAAAUUCAUCAAAUUUCAUGGUUUUUAGAGCUAAUAAACAUUUUCAAUUAAUUCGCACAAUCAAUCACAUCUUUGGGUUUAACGAGAGCAACAGUAAUCAUCACUUAAUCAAUAAAUUUCAUGGGAUGUUAACAACAAAAUUUCAUUAUUCCCACAAUUCAAUCAAUUCAUGUGUUUAACGAACAAUAUUUUCAAUCAAUGACAUCAAUUUAAUCAAAUUUCAUGGUUAACAACAAACAUUUUGUAUCAUGCAAAAUUCACAUCAAGUUUUUAAUGGUUUUUUACAACAUUUCAUCCUACGACAGAUCAAUUUAAAUUUCAUGUGUUUAACAACACAAACAAAUUUUCCUCAUCACACGAAUCAAGAUUUCGAAUUUCCAUGGGUUUUAACAACAACAUUUUUUAUUAACAUAAUUCAUUCAAAAUUCUAUCGGUUUAAAAUAACAUUUUCAUCAUUUAACAGAAUUCAAUCAAAUUCUCACGGCUUUAACGACAACAUUUUUAUGCAUUCAUACAAUUCAAUCAAAUUUUAAUGAGUUUAACAACAAGUUUCAUAUUCACACAUGUCAGUCAAAAUUUAGGGGUUAACAGAACAACAAUUUUCAAUCGAUUCACACAAUUCAUCAAAAUUUCCUAGGUUUCAACACAACAACAUUUUCAAUAUGUCACAACCAUUCAUAUCAAAUUCAUUGUUUUAGGCAUCAAACAUUAUCAUCAAUCACCAAUUCAGUCAAAAUUUCAUGCAAUUUACAAGCAACAUUUUCAUUCAUUCACCCAUAAUUCAAUCCAAUUUCAUGGUUUAAGACGAACAUUUUUCUGUUCACACAAUCAAUCAAAUUCAAUGGGUUUAACGACGAAUAUUUUCAUCAAUUCCAGAAUUCAAUCAAAUCCAUGGAUUAAAAGACAUUCAUCAUUCAAUAAUUCAAUCAAAUUUCGAGGGUUAGACAUCAACAUUUUCAUCAUUUCCAGCACAAUGCAAUGCACAUUUCAUAUGUUUAACAACAACAGAUUUUGCAUUAUUCGCAACAAUUCAAUCAAAUUUCAUGGGUUUAACAGGAGAGAACAACAUUUAUCCUUAUUCAACAACUCAAUCACAAUUUCAUGGGUUUUAAAAUAAGAGAAAAACCCCAAAAUUUUUUCCCAUCAAAAAAAAUUUUCCCCCCCGCAAUUAAUUCAAUCAAAAUUUCGAUGGUUUUCAAGCUACGAUUAUUCAUCAUCAGAAAAGUCAAUCAAAUUUUCAUGGGUCUUAGAUAAUAAAAAUUUUCAUUAUUGCACCACAAUUCAAAUCACAUUUGGUUUAACAACACAUUGGAGCCAUUCACUUAUUCGAAUCAAUAUGUCAUGUGUUUAACAACAAAAUUUUCAUUGUUGCCCACAAUUCAUCAAAUUUCCGAUGUGUUAAAACAACAAUAUGUUUCAUCAUUCACACAUGUUAAAUCAAAUUUCAUGGGUUUAAGCAACAACAUUUUAGUCAUUCGCAAAAUUCAUCAAUUUUAUGGUUUAAACAACAUUUUCAUCAUCCCACAAUUCCAAUUCAAUUUCAUGUUAAAAACCACAACAAAAGUUUUAGAUCAUAUCACAAUUCAAUCAAAUUUCAUGGGUUUGGAACAAACAAAUUUUUAUCAUUCCCAUAAUUCAAGUCAAAAUUCUGUCGGUUUAAAAAGAGUAACAUUUUUCUCAUCAUUGUACAGAAUUCAACUCACGUUCACGGCUUUAACGACACAUUUGUUAUCAUUCAAACAAAGUCUCAAUCAAAUUUAUGAGUUUAACAACAACAUUUUCAGCAUUCCCACACUUCAAUCAACUUGUCAUGGGUUUAGAGAACAAUAUUUUUUUUUCGUUCACCCAACUCAUAAAUUUCAAGGGUUUAACGACAAUAUUCUGAUCAUUCACAGAAUUCAGUCAAAUUCAUGCGGAUUUAACAGGAACAUGUUCAUCAUUGCCCGACAAUUCAUCAAAUUUCAUUGGGUUUAAACAUCAAUUUUCAGAAUCAGCAAAUUACAAUCACAUUUCAUGAAUUUCAACCACAAAACAUUUUCACAUUGCACAUAAUUCAAUCAAUUGCAUGGGUUGUAAGAACAACAUAUUUAUCGUUCACAAGAACACUCAAUCAAAUUUGAUGCGGUUUAACGACUAUAUUUUCAUCAUUCACAGAAUUCAAUCAAAUUCCAUGGAUUUAAAAGGAACCAUUUGUCAUAUCAAUUCAGCAACAUAUCAAAUCAAAUUUCAAUGGGUUUAAACAAUCAACAUUUUCAAUCAAUUCCACAAUUCAAUCAAAUUUCAUAUGUUUAGCACAACUUUUCAUAUUCCAACAAUUCAGAUCAAAUUUCAUGGGUUAACAACACAUUUUUCAGUUAUUCACACAACCAUAAUCAAAUUUCAUGUGUUUAGAUAGAACAUUUUCAUCAUUCCCAUUAAUUCAAUAAAUUUCAUGGGUUUAUCACUACAUUGUUCAUCAUUCAGGAAAAUUCAAUCAAAAUUUUCAUGGGUUAAUAAUAACAACAUUUUCAUUUCAUUCAACACAUUCAAUCAAAUUCUCUGGGUUUAAAACAACAUUUUAUCAUUCACUUAAUUCAAUCAAAUUUAUGGGUUAAACACAAUUUCAUUAUUCCCACAAUUCAAUCAAAUUUCAUGGUGUUUCAACAACAAUAUUUUCAUUCAUUCACACAAUUUAAUCAAAUUUCAUGGGUUUAACAACAACAUUUUUAUCAUUCCAAAAUUCAAUCAAAUUUAUGGUUUUAACAACAUUUUCAUCACUCACACAAUUCAAUUAAAUUUCAUGUGUUUACAACAACAACAACAUUAUUCAUCAUCACGCAAUUCAAUCAAAUUUCAUGGGUUGACAACAACAUUUUUAUCAUUCACAUAAUUCAAUCAAAUUCUUGGUUUAAAAUAAGACAUUUUCAUAUUCAGAAUUCAAUCAAAUUUCACGGCUUUUAACGACAACAUUUUUAUCAUAUUCAUACAAUACAAUCAAAUUUUAUGAGUUUUAACAACGAUUUUUCAUCAUUCACACAUCAAAUAAAUUUCAGGGGUUUAACAAACAACAUUUCAUUCAUUCACACCAAUUCAAUCAAAUUUGCUUAGGUUUAACAACAACAUUUUUAUUAUUCACAAUGUCAUGCAAAUUUCAUCGGUUUAAGACAACAUUUAUCAUCAAUGCCACAAUAUUAAUCAAAAUUUCAGGAAUUUAACGAGAAAUUUCAUUCAUCACAUUCAAUCAAUAUUCAUUGAGUUUAAAACAACAUUUUCACCAUGUCACACAAUCAAUCAAGAUUGCAUGGUUUAACAACAACAUUUUUCAUCAUGCGCAAGAUUCAUAUCAAAUUAUGAAUUUACAAAGGUACUUUCAUCACAUUCACACACAAUUCAUCAAAUUUCAUGUGUUUACAAUAACAACAUUUUUCAUUACUGCACGAAAUCAAUCAAAUGUCAAUGUUUAACACAACAACAUUUUCAAUUAUUCCACAAUCAUCAAAUUUCAGGUUCAACAACACCAAAUUUUCAUUAUUCACACAAGUCUAUCAAAUCAAUUCAUUGGGUUUAUAAUUCAUUUUCGAUCUUCCCAAAGUUCAAUCAAGUUUCAUGAUUUAAUCAACUACAACUUUAGUCAAUCAUUCAACAUUCAAAUCAAAUCUAUGGUUUAAAACAACUUUUUAUCGUUUCACAUAGAUUCAAUCACAUCUUCGUGGGUUUAACAACAACAUUUUAUCAUCAUCACAUGAAGCUUCAAUCAAAUUUCAUGUGUUUAACAACAACAAUUUCAUUAUUCACAAUUCAUCAAUUCAUGGUUAACAACAUAUUUUCAAUCAUUUCACAAUUAAUCAAAUUUCAUGGUUUACAACAACAACCUUUUUCAUCAGUUCGCACAAAUCAUCAUCAAAUUUAUUGUUUUAACAACAUUUCUCAUCUCACACAAUUCAAUAAAAUUUCAUGGUUUUAACAACAACAACAUUAAUCAUUCACACAAUUCAAUCAAAUUUCAUGGGUUUAACAACAACAUUUAUGUUUAACAUUUUCAUUACAGAGAUUAAAUUCAUGUUAAAAUUUCACAUCAUAUACAUGUUAUGGUUUGAAAAUAAAUUUUCUAUCUUUCACAAUUCAAUCGCUUUUCAUACGGUUUGAGACAACAACAUUUUCAUUAUCAACAAUUCAAUCAAUUUCAUGAGUUUAAACAACAAAAAACAUU